rnacentral:tRNA from 3 species
GGUGGGUUGCCUGAGUGGUUUAAAGGGGCGGUUUGCUAAACCGUUGGCGCGAAAGUGUCACACAGGUUCGAAUCCUGUACCCACCG